CGGGGGUAGUCUCUGAUCCUAGUCAGACUUGUGAUGCCCAUUGCGAUACCAGGGAGGGUUGUGUCAUUACCCUUCUUCUAGAAUACAAGCCCAUUACGAUACCAGGGAGGGUUGUGUCAUUACCCUUCUUCUAGAUUAGGUGGAGUAGUCAUGCUAAACAAGACACUCUAGGUGUGAACCUUUUAGAGUGACCUCGCUCUGAUAUCAAUUAUUGAAACGUUAAGGGUUGCACCAC
rnacentral:lncRNA from 1 species